GGGUCAUUGAUAGUGUUCAAAUAUGCAUUCUUUGGAAAUCUGAACAACAUGAGUGAAAAUUCUAUACUGUCAUCCUUAACAUACUGUUGUCC